UACGGAGGGUGCAAGCGUUAUCCGGAUUCACUGGGGUUAAAGGGUGCGUAGGUGGGCAAGUAAGUCAGUGGUGAAAUCUCCGGGCUUAACCCGGAAACUGCCAUUGAUACUAUUUGUCUUGAAUACCGUGGAGGUGAGCGGAAUAUGUCAUGUAGCGGUGGAAUGCUUAGAUAUGACAUAGAACACCAAUUGCGAAGGCAGCUCGCUACACGAAUAUUGACUCUGAGGCACGAAAGCGUGGGGAUCAAACAGG
rnacentral:rRNA from 1 species